CCUACGGGGGGCUGCAGUAGGGAAUAUUGGACAAUGGGCGAAAGCCUGAUCCAGCCAUGCCGCGUGUGUGAAGAAGGCCUUCGGGUUGUAAAGCACUUUCAGUGGGGAAGAAAGCCUUGGGGCUAAUACCCUCGAGGAAGGACAUCACCCACAGAAGAAGCACCGGCUAACUCCGUGCCAGCAGCCGCGGUAAUACGGAGGGUGCGAGCGUUAAUCGGAAUUACUGGGCGUAAAGCGCGCGUAGGCGGUCUGAUAAGCCGGUUGUGAAAGCCCCGGGCUCAACCUGGGAACGGCAUCCGGAACUGUCAGGCUAGAGUGCAGGAGAGGAAGGUAGAAUUCCCGGUGUAGCGGUGAAAUGCGUAGAGAUCGGGAGGAAUACCAGUGGCGAAGGCGGCCUUCUGGACUGACACUGACGCUGAGGUGCGAAAGCGUGGGUAGCAAACAGGAUUAGAUACCCUUGUAGUC
rnacentral:rRNA from 1 species